rnacentral:misc_RNA from 1 species
AAAAAAAAAAUGAAGUUUCUGAUGCAAGUCUGGAAUAUCAAGUGGAAAAACACCAAGUUCAAGCAAAUGAUCCCAUUCUUGAAACUUGCGAUAAUGCAUCUUCGAACUGCUCAUCGUCGAGCUUCUCAGAGUUCAAGCUUGGGGGGAUGAAGGAUCUGAAGAGUUGUUCCAUGUUAGGAACUUCCUUCAGCUCACGGCAAGCAACUUCAAGAGGUGUGUUACAAAAAGAGCGGUAGAAUUUCUUCGAACAAACAUAGACGAAGAUCAAGGAAAUUAUGGGAAGCGGAAUCAGCAUUGGAGUAUAAUAGAAUUCCUUCACCCCAAAGUAACCAAACAUUGUGACUUGGAACAAUAACAGAGAAGCAAGGAUUCGUGUAUGCAUAUGGGGCCACAUCCUUCCAUAGCUCUCAAAGGAUGGAACAAAGACUUUAAGUGCCUGAUUUCGUAAAACAAGCCAUCCCAGGCCAAAGUACACAACUCCAAAUGGGAUAAUCAGAGGAGCUAUGACAGAGUAGCAGAGGACAAUUGUGAUGAUAAGCAUGUCACCAGGAACUCUGGUUGCAUAUCCAAAAUCUCCAGGAGCCCAAGCCUCUUUCAACUCAGUUUCAGUCUUGCAAAGGUACUUCCUUUUCAGAUGAUAAAUGAUUAGAGGAACCACACGUGAAAGCUCAAGUCCAUAUCCAACAAAGAACUUCAGGGCCACAAAGGUAAGAAAGAAAGUUGCAUUGCCAGGGAGGCCGUUUCCUAGCAAUUUAACUAUAGAAUCUGGAUUCUUCUGAAUGCUCUUGAAUGUACUGAACAAGGUUCCACCGAUUGUAACUCCAAUAAAAACAUUCAAAACAGUGAAAUAAAAGUACUUUCCAGACGUAGCCCUUACUGCAUGGCUCUGUGAAGGAAUUCCCUCUGCCUUGGAGAGAAACAAAAGCAACUUGGGCAACAAUGCCAAAAAGACGAUGAGUGCAAUCUGAGGAAGGUAGGCUUCCAACACUGUCUUGAUUGCAACAAUGUUCACAACUGGCUUUAGGAAUGGGAGAAUUUUCUUCAGAUUGUCCAAAGUUGUUAAUGCAGAAAUAAACCCAAUUGGUAUCAUGUAAAACAAUAUGGUCAGAGCCACAAUAAUGUAUACCACGUACUGUCGUAUUUGCCUCUUGAAAAACUUAAUUUUAAGAUUAGUCCAUAAAAGUUGACGAGGCUCAGGAGCUUCCAUGGCAGCAUGUGUCAACCAUUUGGUCAUGCAGACUCUGAGAUGCAGAAGCAGCUGUCACCCUACUGGUGAAAAAGACCAAAGCAGAAGGCUGCUGCUUGUCUCGUAAUGUAACUUUUUGUGCAGCUUCCAAUUUUGUGACUAGUUCCUUAAUCUUCUCAUUGAAGUACUCUAUGCUAUCUACUUUCUUACCAAUGAGACCAAGGAAGCCAGUUUUGGUGGUAGGUCUUGACCCUUCUGGUUUGCCUGAUUCCUUGGACUCGGCAUAUAUGGCUUCUGCAUGUGCAAGCUUUUUCUUGUACCCUUCCAACUCUUCAUAAAUUUUGUUAACCUCUUUAUUGUUUGUAACCACCAUCGAUCUGUAAAAUGUCUCAGGGUAGAUGGAUUUAAAAUAUGAAUCCACCAGUUCCUUUAUAGUUUGGCCCUCAGGAGGAGGAGGUAUGUCCCUAACAAGAACAGCGAAUUGCUCUGCUUUUACUUCUGGAGACAUUAAAGCCUUAGCUCUCAGCCCAGAAACAUGUAUGUAUGCUUUCCAUAACAUGUAAUAGGUGACAAAAG